rnacentral:rRNA from 1 species
GGAAUUUUACGCAAUGGGGGAAACCCUGACGUAGCGACACCGCGUGAGCGAAGAAGCCCUUUGGGGUGUAAAGCUCUGUCAGCUGGAACGAAAACAAUGACGGUACCAGCAGAGGAAGCAUCGGCUAACUACGUGCUAGCAGCCGCGGUAAGACGUAGGAUGCGAGCGUUGUCCGGAUUUAUUGGGCGUAAAGAGUUCGUAGGUGGUUUGUUAAGUUUGGUGUUAAAGAUCGGGGCUCAACCCUGGGACUGCACUGAAUACUGGCAGACUCGAGUGUGGUAUAGGCUAGUGGAAUUCCCAGUGUAGCGGUGAAAUGCGUAGAUAUUGGGAAGAACACCGGUGGCGUAGGCGACUAGCUGGGCCAUAACUGACGCUGAGGAACGAAAGCCAGGGGAGCGAAUG